UACGAAGGGUGCAAACGUUGCUCGGAAUCAUUGGGCGUAAAGCGCACGUAGGCGGCCUCACAAGUCGGAUGUGAAAUCCCGUGGCUCAACCAUGGACGUGCAUUCGAAACUGCGAGGCUUGAGUAUGGAAGAGGGUCGCGGAAUUCCCGGUGUAGAGGUGAAAUUCGUAGAUAUCGGGAGGAACACCAGUGGCGAAGGCGGCGACCUGGGCCAAUACUGACGCUGAGGUGCGAAAGCGUGGGGAGCGAACAGG
rnacentral:rRNA from 1 species